rnacentral:misc_RNA from 1 species
UCCGGUUUGUCACCGGCAGUCCCAUUAGAGUGCUCAACUGAAUGUAGCAACUAAUGGCAAGGGUUGCGCUCGUUGCGGGACUUAACCCAACAUCUCACGACACGAGCUGACGACAGCCAUGCAGCACCUGUCACCGGUCCAGCCGAACUGAAGGGGUCGAUCUCUCGUCCCCGCGACCGGGAUGUCAAGGCUAGGUAAGGUUCUUCGCGUUGCAUCGAAUUAAGCCACAUACUCCACCGCUUGUGCAGGCCCCCGUCAAUUUCUUUGAGUUUUAAUCUUGCGACCGUACUCCCCAGGCGGCACGUUUAACGCGUUAGCUUCGCCACAAACGGGGUCGAUUCCGUUUACAGCAAAUGCGCACCGUUUACAGCCAAGACUAC